rnacentral:rRNA from 1 species
AUUGAACGCUGGCGGCAGGCUUAACACAUGCAAGUCGAGCGGAGAUGAGGUGCUUGCACCUUAUCUUAGCGGCGGACGGGUGAGUAAUGCUUAGGAAUCUGCCUAUUAGUGGGGGACAACAUUCCGAAAGGAAUGCUAAUACCGCAUACGCCCUACGGGGGAAAGCAGGGGACCUUCGGGCCUUGCGCUAUCAGAUGAGCCUAGGUCGGAUUAGCUAGUUGGUGAGGUAAUGGCUCACCAAGGCUACGAUCCGUAACUGGUCUGAGAGGAUGAUCAGUCACACUGGAACUGAGACACGGUCCAGACUCCUACGGGAGGCAGCAGUGGGGAAUAUUGGACAAUGGGGGGAACCCUGAUCCAGCCAUGCCGCGUGUGUGAAGAAGGCCUUAUGGUUGUAAAGCACUUUAAGCGAGGAGGAGGCUACUGAGACUAAUACUCUUGGAUAGUGGACGUUACUCGCAGAAUAAGCACCGGCUAACUCUGUGCCAGCCGCCGCAGUAACAC